ensembl:lncRNA
CUGCUUUUUAAUAUGCUAUCUAGGUUGAUCAUAACUUUCCUUCCAAGGAGUAAGCAUCUUUUAACUUCAUGGCUGCAGUGACCAUCUGCAGUGAUUUUGGAGCCCCCUCCUCCCAAAAUAAAAGUCUGACACUGUUUCCACUAUUUCCCCAUCUAUUUCCCAUGAAGUGAUAGGACCAGAUGGCAUGAUCUUAGUUUUUGAAUGUUGAGCUUUAAGCCAACUUUUUCACUCUCCUCUUUCACUUUCAUCAAGAGGUUUUUUAGUUCCUCUUCACUUUCUGCCAUAUGGGUGGUAUCAUCUGCAUAUCUGAGGUUAUUGAUAUUUCUCCUGGCAAUCUUGAUUCCAGCUUGUGCUUCUUCCAGCCCAGCGUUUCUCAUAAUGUACUCUGUAUAUAAGUUAAAUAAGCAGGGUGACAAUAUACAGCCUUGACUCCUUUUCCUAUGUGGAACCAGUCUGUUGUUCCAUGUCCAGUUCUAACUGUUGCUUCCUGACCUGCAUACAGAUUUCUCAAGAGGCAGAUCAGGUGGUCUGGUAUUCCCAUCUCUUUCAGAAUUUUCCACAGUUUGUUGUGAUCCACACGGUCAAAGGCUUUGGCAUAGUCAAUAAAGCAGGAAUAGAUGUUUUUCUGGAACUCUCUUGCUUUUUCCAUGAUCCAGCGGAUGUUGGCCAUUUGAUCUCUGGUUCCUCUGCCUUUCCUAAAACCAGCUUGAACAUCUGGAAGUUCACAGUUCACGUAUUGCUGAAGCCUGGCUUGGAGAAUUUUGAGCAUUACUUUACUAGCGUGUGAGAUGAGUUCAAAGUUCAACUAUGCAGUAGUUUGAGCAUUCUUUGGCAUUGCCUUUCUUUGGGAUUGGAAUGAAAACUGACCUCUUCCAGUCCUGGAUGUCUUAGAGAACAUGAAACAUUAGGGAUGGGUCUGUGCUACAGUCUCAGUUGGAGAUUAGUAACCUGGGGUCCCUGGACUUUCCCCAAUGGCUCUCUGAAUAUGAAUGGGAAAAAUGAUAUGUUUAUUGCUAUUAACCUUAAAGUCAUAAAGUCAAAUUUAGUACUUCCUUCCACUGUGAAUAUAGGCAACAAAUCACAGUAGAAUUAGCAGUGCUUUUGAGAAUAGAAACCACAGGUACAUUCAUAUCACAUCCAGCUGUCACAGACAUCUCAAAAUACCAUUUACAUUCAUUACUAAUUCAAUAGUUACUUUACCCACCAUUGGAUCUUGUUGUUGAAUGCAUUAAUAAAAAUGCACAUAUAUUACCGUAUCUUAACUUUCAUUAGUAUUUUUAUGACUAUAUUUAACAUAUGUGGUUUCCUCUGUAUUUAGUUUUAUUUGCAGUGUCUCUCCAGGUGUCCAGAAAACUCUGGAAGAAAACUGGCCCCUGGAAGAAAUGAUCAGUAGCCCAAGGAUUUCUGGUCACAGCGCUGUGCAGAGAUCUUCCAGUGUUCCUCAGGAGGCCAUCCUGUCUCCAUCUGUCAUAACCAGGGCUGUUCCCAGUACAUCAGUGAGCAUCAGGAAAAUAUUAAAUGCUCCUUAACUGGUCAGGUACUCCAGAAGCAGGACCAAGAUGGAGUGUGCGCUAUGAAGACUAACCAGUCGGUGCGUCUGGGAAAAGUGUAAAAAGGAGGCAGAAUCACUGUCUUGAAGGGAGGAGGGCUUCAAGAGCCUUCCACAUGGCCUUUCCCAUGACAGCUCUUAACCCUGCAGACCAAGGACUUGAUGUGGGAGUUACACCAAUUGCCAAUUUAAUAAGAACCUAGUGUAUAGAUCCGAGCGGCAACAGAGAGUGCCAGGCUGUGUGGCACAGGAGUGGCCAAGAGGAGCUACCCCACGCCUGAGGUCAGGGGAGGCGGCUGAGAGGAGCAACCUCAUGUCCAAGGAGCACGGCUAUGCGGGCACAGGAGAGCCAAGAGGAGCUACUCCAUGUUCAAGGUCAGGAGGGGUGGCUGUGAGGAGAUACUCCUCAUCCAAGGUAAGGAACAGCUGCUGUGCUUUGCUGGAGUAGCCGUGAAGAGAUACCCCACGUCCAAGGUAAGAGAAACCCAAGUAAGACCGUAGAUGUUGUGAGAGGGCAUCGCAACCUGUAAGAGGGCAGACACACUGAAACCAUAAUCACAGAAAACUAGCAAUAUGAGCACACGGACCACUGCCUGGUCUAACUCAAUGAAACGAAGCCAUGCCGUGUGGGGCCACCCAAGAUGGAUGGGUCAUGGUGGAGAGGUCUUACAGUAUGUGGUCCACUGGAGAAGGGAAUAGCAAACCACUUCAGUAUUCUUGCCUUGAGAACCCCAUGAACAGUAUGAAAAUGCAAAAUGAUAGGAUACUGAAAGGAGAACUCCCCAGGUGCGUAGGUGCCCAAUAUGCUACUGGAGGUCAGUGGAGAAAUA